UGGGGAAUCUUGCGCAAUGGGAGCAAUCCUGACGCAGCAACGCCGCGUGGGUGAUGAAGGUCUUCGGAUCGUAAAGCCCUGUCGGAGGGGAAGAUGCUUGGAACGUCUAAUAGAUGAGCCAGGUGACGGUACCCUUAAAGGAAGCACCGGCUAACUCUGUGCCAGCAGCCGCGGUAAUACAGAGGGUGCAAGCGUUGUUCGGAAUUAUUGGGCGUAAAGGGAGUGUAGGCGGUUGAUUAAGUCUUUCGUGAAAUCUGCGGGCUUAGCCUGACAAAGUGCGGAGGAAACUGGUCGACUUGAGUGUCGGAGAGGAUAGGGGAAUUCCCGGUGUAGAGGUGAAAUUCGUAGAGAUCGGGAGGAACACCAGUGGCGAAGGCGCCUAUCUGGCUGACAACUGACGCUGAGACUCGAAAGCAUGGGGAGCAAACAGGAUUAGAUACCCCGGUAGUCC
rnacentral:rRNA from 1 species